GAGGGUACAGCUCAACUGAUAGAGCGCAUGCCUAGCAUGCAUAAGGUCCUGGGUUCAAUCCCCAGUACCUCCU
rnacentral:tRNA from 1 species